UACGUAGGGUGCGAGCGUUAAUCGGAAUUACUGGGCGUAAAGCGUGCGCAGGCGGUUCGCUGUGUCCGAUGUGAAAGCCCCGGGCUUAACCUGGGAAUGGCAUUGGAAACUGGCGGGCUUGAGUGUGGCAGAGGGGGGUGGAAUUCCGCGUGUAGCAGUGAAAUGCGUAGAGAUGCGGAGGAACACCGAUGGCGAAUGCAGCCCCCUGGGCUAACACUGACGCUCAGGCACGAAAGCGUGGGGAGCAAACAGG
rnacentral:rRNA from 1 species